rnacentral:rRNA from 1 species
UACUGCGAGUGAGAGGGAAGAGCUCAUCAUUGGAAUCUGGCAGUGUUGCACUGUCCGAGUUGUAGAUGAGGAGUAGUCCGUCUGGACUGCAUGGCGUCCAAGUACAAUAGGCCGUCAGUGGGACAUCAUAGAGGGUGACAAUCCCGUCCUUGACGCCAAUGUGCAAGUCUAUUACGAUGGCUAUCUCAGAGAGUCGAGCAGUUUGGGAUUUGCUGCUUAAACAUGGGAGGUAGAUUCCUUCUAAAGCUAAAUACAGGCGAGAGACCGAUAGAGAACAAGUACCGCAAGGGAAAGAUGAAAUAGCACUCUGUGAAGGGAGUCAAAAGGCGUGAAAUUGUUGCGAGAGAAGCGAUUCAAGUCAGCGUAGCUAGGCCCAUCAAGCGUCUUCGCUUUGGACUAGCUUUGCCAGCGGUCUUGUCCCUUGAAGAGACUUGACUUGUAAUAUGUCCAGCCUGGCGUGCACAGGCAGCCCCUUCUGGGGGCCAGUGGCAUGGCUGGUGGAAUGGCUUGCAAUCGACCUGUCUUGAAACACGGACCAAGGAGUCUAACAUGUAUGCGAGUAUAAGGGUGGCAAACCCGUAUGCGCAAUGAAAGUGAUUUUCGGUGAUUGAGAAUGGCCUGAUGACCAGACAAGCAAUAUAUGUCCCUCGUACGGCCAUUGCCCAAGUUCCGUGGUAGAUCCCACGAACAUGGAGUUGGAGCAUACAUGCUAGGACCCGAAAGAUGGUGAACUAUGCCUGGACAAAGCGAAGCCAAAGGAAACUCUGGUGGAGGCUUGUAGCGAUUCUGACGUGCAAAUCGAUCGUCUGAUCUGGGUAUAGGGGCGAAAGACUA